rnacentral:rRNA from 1 species
GACGAACGCUGGCGGCGUGCUUAACACAUGCAAGUCGAACGAUGAAGCCUAGCUUGCUAGGUGGAUUAGUGGCGAACGGGUGAGUAAUACGUGAGUAACCUACCUUUAACUCUGGGAUAAGCCCGGGAAACUGGGUCUAAUACCGGAUACGACCAAUCUCCGCAUGGGGUGUUGGUGGAAAGCGUUAUGUAGUGGUUAUAGAUGGGCUCACGGCCUAUCAGCUUGUUGGUGAGGUAACGGCUCACCAAGGCGACGACGGGUAGCCGGCCUGAGAGGGUGACCGGCCACACUGGGACUGAGACACGGCCCAGACUCCUACGGGAGGCAGCAGUGGGGAAUAUUGCACAAUGGGCGCAAGCCUGAUGCAGCGACGCCGCGUGAGGGAUGACGGCCUUCGGGUUGUAAACCCCUGUUAGCAGGGAAGAAGAGAGAUUGACGGUACCUGCAGAGAAAGCGCCGGCUAACUACGUG